rnacentral:rRNA from 1 species
AUGAACGCUAGCUACAGGCUUAACACAUGCAAGUCGAGGGGCAUCAUGAGAUUAGCUUGCUAAUCUUGAUGGCGACCGGCGCACGGGUGAGUAACGCGUAUCCAACCUUCCCCUUAGUAGGGCAUAGCCCGGCGAAAGUCGGAUUAAUACCCUAUGUUGUCAAUAGAGGACAUCUGAAGCUGACUAAAGAUUAAUCGCUAAGGGAUGGGGAUGCGUCUGAUUAGCUUGUUGGCGGGUAACGGCCCACCAAGGCGACGAUCAGUAGGGGUUCUGAGAGGAAGGUCCCCCACACUGGUACUGAGACACGGACCAGACUCCUACGGGAGGCAGCAGUGAGGAAUAUUGGUCAAUGGGCGUAAGCCUGAACCAGCCAAGUAGCGUGCAGGAUGACGGCCCUAUGGGUUGUAAACUGCUUUUAUGCGGGGAUAAAGUCACCUACGUGUAGGUGUUUGUAGGUACCGCAUGAAUAAGGACCGGCUAAUUCCGUGCC